rnacentral:lncRNA from 1 species
GGGGAUAGGAGCUACUAGAGGCUAAGAGUACUACGAGGGCUAAAGGGCUGUUAGGGGGCUACUAGGGAGAGUUCUAAAGCCUAAGGGUUACGCUAUGGGCUACUCUAGGGGUUAUUAGAGGGCUAGAGACUACUAAGCGCUAAAGGCUAAGGGCUAAUGGGCUAAUAAUGACUUCUGGACUACCUUAUUUAAAUUUAUGCAUAUAUUGUUUGGUUUAACAUUAUUUUACAUAAUAUUUGUUC